GUAGGAGGGCAGAAGGGCUGGGGAGGGAGAGAGCAGAGAUAAAGCCACAGCUCUAUAUAUAGUGUGGCUACUCCACAUACAACUGUCAAAGUAAAAAUAAAAGUAAUGCGUCGCUGUUUUUAAUGUGCUUUUAAUGCGAUCUUAAAGCGCGUGUAUGACAAAGAUCCGACAUCGAAGAGAAAGAGAUAGGUCGAUACAGCUAGAUAGAUGGACAGAGACAGUUCUCGAUUCGAGAGACAGCGUCAGUUUUCUUCGCCCGUCUAGACUUUUUAGGCGUCUACUACUGGCCUGGCAUUUCAAAUCUGACCAACUGGGUCAGUUGAUCACCAGGUGCCUGAGAAUCUCUCUGCCAGGCCAUCAGAUUAAAAGGGAAAACCACCGAUCUGCCGUCAAGAUCAACAGAAACAGUGAAUGAUUGUGAAAUGGUCACAGCUCGGCUGCUUAAUAAUAUGUUUAUAAGCUAAAAUAGUCUAUUUAUCCACUUUAAUAUCGUCAACAUCAAAGGUUUAUAUUGAAACAGAACGCAGGUGCACUUUUCACAAGGUCAUGCUCAUGAAAUAUCAGAUAAAAAUCAGAAUAUUAGGGCGAAUUCUCACAUUAAUAAAGGAUCAGCAAAGGCUCGGUUACUGGCCAAAAUAUUGGAAGGAUAUGACCCUUUACAUCGCCCAAAAAAUUUAGAAUUUGUGACAUUUUUUAAGAUUUUUUUGAACAAAAAUAUAAAAUUAAUUCGAAUUUUAACGAUUUUUUUAAAAAUUCAAAUGACAACGUCAAAUUUUGAACGUUAACAGAAAAUUUCAAAGUUAACAGCAACGGCAGUCAGUUCGAAUGUUAACGGCUAUGUUAAUACGAAUUUCUCUGUUAAAUCGAUGUUAAUACGAAUUUGAAUGUUAACGGCCAUGUUAAUUAACAUAAUGUUAACUGAAAAUUUGUCAUUCUAGGGUAGCAAAAAUUCCCAACUGUUUCUAGCAGAAAUGUUGUGACUAGGCCCGUCGGACCCUCAAAAAUCAGUCAACUCAUUUUCAAGUGUGUGUGUGUGUGUAACGUAAAGUAAAGUCAGUAGUCUUUUUUAGUGGUGUGACCGAUAGUACCCCAGCCUAUUGGUGGUACGUGGACUCCAUGUGGAUGCAGUGCACCUUAAAUUUUUUUUUGGAAAUCUAUUUUUUCGAUUAUUGAUGACGUGGAUUUAUGGAUAUAAACGAUUUUAUCGAAAAUCGACUACAGCGAGCAGCAAAUCAAGCAAGCUGACAGCUGCCAUAAAUUCAAACAUAAAACAAGUUGACAAGAAUCUCAGUAAUUUUCAGUGUCUUUGUCCCCCUUUAGCUUUGCCUUCUGAUGAGCCGAAACAUUAUGAGAGAUGAGGAUGGAUCUCAGUCAUCGACUACCUCAAGGGGCCAAUGCAGGAAUACUUUAAAUGGAUGAAGGACACUUAAUGACUUCUCAAAUCACAUGAAGAUCAACACAAAAAAUGAAGAUAAUUUACACAUAAUUUUCGCUAUUUUCGAGGAUCAGUUUUCCAAUGAGCCACAAGGUGUAAUUUUCUGUUUUGAACCCUAAUCAAUUUUCAUUUCCCGCAGAUACAAUAAAGACAUUUUCCACAAUAAA